AGGUCGUUUUGAGGGCCAUUUUGAAGUAGAUCCUUGUAGCAUUCCCAUGAUUCAUACAACGACUCCCCCAUUUGUUGUUCAAAGUUAGAAAUGCCCUUUUUUUUUAACUU